AAAACAAUCCUACGGGAGGCAGCAGUGGGGAAUAUUGGACAAUGGGCGCAAGCCUGAUCCAGCCAUGCCGCGUGAGUGAUGAAGGCCUUAGGGUUGUAAAGCUCUUUCGCCGACGAAGAUAAUGACGGUAGUCGGAGAAGAAGCCCCGGCUAACUUCGUGCCAGCAGCCGCGGUAAUACGAAGGGGGCUAGCGUUGUUCGGAAUCACUGGGCGUAAAGCGCACGUAGGCGGAUUGUUAAGUCAGGGGUGAAAGCCUGGAGCUCAACUCCAGAACUGCCUUUGAUACUGGCAAUCUCGAGUCCGGAAGAGGUAAGUGGAACUGCGAGUGUAGAGGUGAAAU
rnacentral:rRNA from 1 species